rnacentral:lncRNA from 1 species
UGCUGCAUAUCACUUAUAAAACUGAUUAAUACCAAGUGCAUGAACAAGGGAAUGGAAAUUACUCUUGUAGCAGGCGUGCCAAUACACCAUUCUUGAUAGGUACUUGAGGAAUAAGCUGCAUUCAUGACACAAGAUAUUCAAAGACGUUUUCUCCUCUUUGCUGAAUCUCAUUUCAGUUAGCAAAGAAGGAAUAUGCGGAGAAUACCUCUUCAAUAAUGAAACGGAGCAUAAUGUAGAGGAGGACUAUUUUUUACAAGAAAAAGGCUAAAAAAAAUAGUGUGAAUGUAACUGUAUGCCUCAGACUGAGGUAACACACUUUAAUCUUCCCUCGAAUAAACUUCUCAAGGAGUAGCUCAGAACAUGCUUCAGAAAUACACCCAAAAGGAUACUCGUUUUACACCUCUCUACUUCCGUUUUAUGAUUCAAGGGACAAAUGUGACAAAACAAUUCUAUUUGAAACCCAUACACGUUCUUCCAUCGUCAUGUUAAAUAUGUUGUGAUGAAGGAAUAAAAUUUAUGAAUGAGGAGAUCAGCAUUCAAGAGGAAAAAAGAGAGUUUUCCAAGAUGAAAAGAGAACAAGAAAUGCAUUCCCAUUCAAGGGCAAAGACAAAAUAUAGGUCAGAAAAACUGGGAUGGAAAAGAAAUCAGCAAGAGAUAAGGAGGAAACAAAAUCAGAAAGAAGAUAGCAUCUAAGACAUUGAAUAGACAAAAAGCUGAAGAGAUCUGUAAGUUAGAAAGACAGUGUAUGGCAUGCAUUAACAGAACAAAAUUAUCACUACAUCGUUUGGGAUUUUGAAUGAAUAAAUAGCUAGACAAGGAUGGGCUUGGCAUAACCAACCAUAAUCAGAAUAUAGAAUCAUUACGUGAUAUUUUUACUGGAUAAGUCCUACCAAAAUCCUAAACUUGAUUGAAAUAAAAUACAAACUAUUUGCAUAUAAUUUGAGU